UAAUAUAAGCAGUGGCGAUAUCGUAACCAAUGAGGUUCUACCGGGGUGCGAUUACUAGUUGAAAACUAUUCAUAAUAUUUACGUCAUGUUCAAUUAUACUGACAUAGUACAUGUUGGGAAAUUUAGUUGUCAUUACGCAUUAAA